UACGUAGGGUGCGAGCGUUAAUCGGAAUUACUGGGCGUAAAGCGUGCGCAGGCGGCUUUGCAAGACAGAUGUGAAAUCCCCGGGCUUAACCUGGGAACUGCGUUUGAAACUACAAGGCUAGAGUGUGGCAGAGGGGGGUGGAAUUCCACGUGUAGCAGUGAAAUGCGUAGAGAUGUGGAGGAACACCGAUGGCGAAGGCAGCCCCCUGGGUUAACACUGACGCUCAGGCACGAAAGCGUGGGGAGCAAACAGG
rnacentral:rRNA from 1 species